rnacentral:rRNA from 1 species
AUACGGAGGAUCCGAGCGUUAUCCGGAUUUAUUGGGUUUAAGGGUGCGCAGGCGGCCAUUUAAGUCAGCGGUUAAAUCGUGGGGCUCAACCCCAUUCUGCCGUUGAUACUGGGUGGCUUGAUUGCGGUCGAGGUUGGCGGAAUUCGUUGUGUAGCGGUGAAAUGCAUAGAUAUGACGAAGAACACCGAUUGCGUAGGCAGCUGACCAGACCGCAAAUGACGCUCAUGCACGAAAGUGCGGGGAUCGAACAGGAUUAGAUACCCUGGUAGUCCGCACAGUAAACGAUGAAUACUUGUUUUCGGCGAUAUAAUGUCGGAGGCAAAGCGAAAGCGAUAAGUAUUCCACCUGGGGAGUACGCCGGCAACGGUGAAACUCAAAUGAAUUGACGGGG